rnacentral:rRNA from 1 species
AUGGAAGCUAGAAGGGGAGGGGCAGGUGGAGUCGCAAGAACACACUCAUCCUUUCUAGCUGCAUGGUGCAAACCUUACCCGGGAAUCACAGAUCUUCUUAUAGCCGAAGCACUCGCUCUACGCGAUGGUGUUCUCUUUGCUCAUCUUCGAGGCUAUCCUGAGGUGGUUUUCGAGUCUGAUAAUUUGGAGAUUGUGAAUCUCUGGAACUCGCAUCACAAUGCUCGUGCGGUCAUGGCGCCUAUCUUGUCCGAGAUUAGGGAGCAUGUUAUUUAUUUUAAGUCCUUUGUAAUUCAGCAUGUAGGGAGGUCAGCUAACGUUUCGGCUCACCUUUGUGCUAAAAAAGCCAGCACCCUGGAUGUAACCGAAUGUUGGAUGGACUCCAUUCCGAGUCUUCUUGUAACCAGUUGA